GGCCCCGUAGCUCAAUUUGGUAGAGCAGUUGACUCUUAAUCAAUUGGUUGAAGGUUCAAGUCCUUCCGGGGUCA
rnacentral:tRNA from 1 species